GAGCGGAUGACGGGAGCUUGCUCCUUGAUUCAGCGGCGGACGGGUGAGUAAUGCCUAGGAAUCUGCCUGGUAGUGGGGGACAACGUUUCGAAAGGAACGCUAAUACCGCAUACGUCCUACGGGAGAAAGCAGGGGACCUUUGGGCCUUGCGCUAUCAGAUGAGCCUAGGUCGGAUUAGCUAGUUGGUGGGGUGAUGGCUCACCAAGGCGACGAUCCGUAACUGGUCUGAGAGGAUGAUCAGUCACACUGGAACUGAGACACGGUCCAGACUCCUACGGGAGGCAGCAGUGGGGAAUAUUGGACAAUGGGCGAAAGCCUGAUCCAGCCAUGCCGCGUGUGUGAAGAAGGUCUUCGGAUUGUAAAGCACUUUAAGUUGGGAGGAAGGGCAGUAAGUUAAUACCUUGCUGUUUUGACGUUACCGACAGAAUAAGCACCGGCUAACUCUGUG
rnacentral:rRNA from 1 species